CCUAGGGGAGGCAGCAGUGGGGAAUAUUGCACAAUGGGCGCAAGCCUGAUGCAGCCAUGCCGCGUGUAUGAAGAAGGCCUUCGGGUUGUAAAGUACUUUCAGCGGGGAGGAAGGUAUUGAGGUUAAUAACCUCAGCAAUUGACGUUACCCGCAGAAGAAGCACCGGCUAACUCCGUGCCAGCAGCCGCGGUAAU
rnacentral:rRNA from 1 species